UGAACCUGGUUGAUCCUGCCAGUAGUCAUAUGCUUGUCUCAAAGAUUAAGCCAUGCAUGUCUAAGUAUAAGCAACUUUGUACUGUGAAACUGCGAAUGGCUCAUUAAAUCAGUUAUAGUUUAUUUGAUGGUUUUUGCUACAUGGAUAACUGUGGUAAUUCUAGAGCUAAUACAUGCAUUCAAGCCCCGACUUCU
rnacentral:rRNA from 1 species